UACGAAGGGGGCGAGCGUUGUUCGGAUUUACUGGGCGUAAAGGGCGCGCAGGCGGUUCUGUUUGUCGAGUGUGAAAGCCCCGGGCUCAACCUGGGAACUGCGCUCGAAACGGCGGAACUAGAGUUCGGGAGAGGAGAGUGGAAUUCCCAGUGUAGAGGUGAAAUUCGUAGAUAUUCGCAAGAACACCAGUGGCGAAGGCGGCUCACUGGCCCGAUACUGACGCUGAGGCACGAAAGCGUGGGGAGCAAACAGG
rnacentral:rRNA from 1 species